CGGGACGGGUGAGUAACGCGUGGGUAACCUGCCUUGUACUGGGGGACAACAGUUGGAAACGACUGCUAAUACCGCAUAAGCGCACAGCUUCGCAUGAAGCGGUGUGAAAAACUCCGGUGGUACAAGAUGGACCCGCGUCUGAUUAGCUGGUUGGUGAGGUAACGGCCCACCAAGGCAACGAUCAGUAGCCGGCCUGAGAGGGUGAACGGCCACAUUGGGACUGAGACACGGCCCAA
rnacentral:rRNA from 1 species